GGAGGAGCCGACCGGGUUUUGAAAACCGCCGUACCCGGAAGGGUACCAGGGGUUCGAAUCCCUUCUCCUCCG
rnacentral:tRNA from 1 species